rnacentral:rRNA from 1 species
UGAAUACGAGACGCUACGGCGUCGAAGCAGUCUAUGUCAUACUUCCAAGAAAAGCUUGCAAUGUCAUAAACAAAUAAUGCCUGUACCAUAACCGACACAGGUGGGUAGGUAGAGUAUACUAAGGGGCGCGAGAUAACUCUCUCUAAGGAACUCGGCAAAAUGACUCCGUAACUUCGGGAGAAGGAGUGCCUUAUUUAUAAGGUUGCAAUAACAAGAUCCAAGCAACUGUUUAUCAAAAACACAGGUCUCCGCUAAGUCGUAAGACGAUGUAUGGGGGCUGACGCCUGCCCAGUGCCAGAAGGUUAAAGAAGUCGGUUAGCAUUAGCGAAGCUGAUAACUGAAGCCCUGGUGAACGGCGGCCGUAACAAUAACGGUCCUAAGGUAGCGAAAUUCCUUGUCGGGUAAGUUCCGACCCGCACGAAAGGCGUAAUGAUUUGGAUACUGUCUCGGAGAGGGGCUCGGUGAAAUAGACUUGUCUGUGAAGAUGCGGACUACCUGCACCUGGACAGAAAGACCCUAUGAAGCUUUACUGUAACUUGAAAUUGAAAUUGGACUUUAUUUGCGCAGUAUAGGUGGGAGGCUUUGAGAAUAUUCUUGCGGGAAUGUUGGAGCCAUCGGUGAGAUACCACUCUUGUAAUGUUAGAUUUCUAACUUUGUAUCAUUAUCUGGUCAAAGGACAGUUUCAGGCGGGCAGUUUGACUGGGGCGGUCGCCUCCUAAACGGUAACGGAGGCGUACAAAGGUUUCCUCUGAACGGGUAGAAAUCGUAUCUAGAGUGUAAAGGCAUAAGGAAGCUUGACUGUGAGACCUACAAGUCGAGCAGGGACGAAAGUCGGUCUUAGUGAUCUGACGGUGCUGAGUGGAAAGGCCGUCACUCAACGGAUAAAAGUUACUCUAGGAUAACAGGCUGAUCUCCCCCAAGAGUUCACAUCGACGGGGAGGUUUGGCACCUCGAUGUCGGCUCAUCGCAUCCUGGGGCGGUAGUACGUCCCAAGGGUUGGGCUGUUCGCCCAUGAAAGCGGUACGCGAGCUGGGUUCAGAACGUCGUGAGACAGUUCGGUCCAUAUCCGGUGUAGGCGUUAGAAUAUUGAGAGGAGCCUUCUUUAGUACGAGAGGACCGAGAAGGACAUACCUCUGGUGUACCAGUUAUCGUGCCAACGGUAAACGCUGGGUAGCUAUGUGUGGAGAGGAUAACCGCUGAAAGCAUCUAAGUGGGAAGCCCACCUCAAGAUAAGUAUUCUCAU